rnacentral:rRNA from 1 species
UGUAAGCGUAUACCAAAGUUGUUGCAGUUAAAACGCUCGUAGUCGGACUUUGGCAGUUCCGGAUGUGUGCACGUCGUGUGCGCGCUUCGCGGGGAUUGCUUUUGUGGUCUUGCGUAGGAUGAGGCACUUUUAUUAGUGAACGUCCUCACGCAACCACUUUUUACUGUGAGAAAAUCAGAGUGCUCAAAGCAGGCAUUUGCCGUGAAUGUAUUAGCAUGGAAUAAUAGAAUAGGACUUGGUUCUAUUUUGUUGGUUUGUUGGGACUGAGUAAUGAUUAAGAGGGACAGUUGGGGGCAUUUGUAUUUCGGUGCUAGAGGUGAAAUUCUUAGAUUACCGAAAGACAAACUGCUGCGAAAGCGUCUGCCAAGGAUGUUUUCAUUGA